AUUGAACGCUGGCGGCAGGCCUAACACAUGCAAGUCGAGCGGAGCGGCGGACGGGUGCGUAAUGCCUAGGAAUCUGCCUGGUCGUGGGGGAUAACGUCCGGAAACGGGCGCUUAAACCGCAAACUAUUAGAUGAGCCUAGGUCGGAUUAGCUAGUUGGUGGGGUAAAGGCCUACCAAGGCGACGAUCCGAAACUGGUCUGAGAGGAGGAUCAGUCACACUGGAACUGAGACACGGUCCAGACGCCUACGGGAGGCAGCAGUGGGGAAUAUUGGACAAUGGGCGAAAGCCUGAUCCAGCCAUGCCGCGUGUGUGAAGAAGGUCUUCGGAUUGUAAAGCACUUUAAGUUGGGAGGCGUUACCAACAGAAUAAGCACCGGCUAACUACGUGCCAGCAGCCGCGGUAAUUC
rnacentral:rRNA from 1 species